AGUGUUAGUGUGCAUAAAGUUAUAGCAUAGAUUAAAGUUUAAUCUAAUUGAGAUUGAUGUGGAUUAUUGAAGGAGUAUAUAUGUUUGUAAACACGCUGUUCAUAACUAUCUACAUCCAAAAAUUGAAGAAUGUAUUUAUUUUAUAAAAUUGGGUAUAAAAUUCGAAAGUUAGAAGAAAUUUUAAACAAUGCUACAGAGUCAAUCAACAGAUGCAUUCUGAAAUUAAAAUUUAUGCACUUUUAUAGAUACUAGAGUUUUAUUUUUUGAAAAAAUUAAACUGAAAACGUUUAUUAUUAUUUUUUUAACACACUCUUAAAAAAUAACUUUAUAUGAAUGUCGACCUUCUGGAAAUUAGAAAUGAAAUAGGAUAGCGUUAUUUGUCAGAUUGUGUGAAUAGAAUACGUAAAAAAUCUAAAACGAAACUAUUGAAUAGAGUUUAAAAUACAUGGUUUUAGAAACACACAUCAUGUAAUUAAUGAAUAGAUGUUGCAAUUUAAAACGAGCUUUGUUAACUUCGUCCUUAUUUUUUUUUAUUCUUUCAUGACUAAUCCAAGUAUCACAAAAGAUUUGUACAAUUUGUACAAAAUAUUCUUCUAUUUUUUUCAAAAUCUCGUUUUAUUUUUUCUGAAAAUUUGAAAAUUUGAUUUUAAAAAAUACAGCUUGUAAACAAGUCAAAAUAACCUUAUUAUGAUGUUAUAAACAUACAUCUAGAGUGAAACAACAUAAAAACAUUUAUUUGCAAUUCAAUAAAUAAUUGAUCCACAUCGUUACUGCAUAAUUAAUCAACAAAUUAUAGCCAAAAUUGCAACUUAUGCUCAAAAUAUAUACACAAAGGUUUAAUACAUCUCAAUGAUUUUAACAAAUCAAUCAUAAGCAUCAAAAGGCUGAACCUGCAGUUGAUAUUUUUAAAAAUAAGCAAAUCAAACCUUGUUCUUAUCAAAUUGUUUUCUUCAAUGCUUGAGGCCUAGAUUAUAUAUAUAUACACACAUUAUAUUAUUGUUACUAAUGAUUGUACACUAUGAAAACAUAUCGUGAUCUAAAAAAAUAGAUCAUUGUAUGUAUGUACAUAUAUAUAUAUAUAUAUAUAUGUAUUGAAAGAUGGUUUCUUUCUUACAUGUUCAAUGGUUUCAGUUAUUAAUGCUUGAAAAUAGAAUGAAAUAAAAUAAGGUUGACAUCACAUUGUUUUCAGAGGUUUAAUUUCAAGGAUAGAGAAUCCCCAGCAAAAACGUUCUCACUGCGUAUUUCUGUGAAUGCUAAAUAAAAAGGGAUAAAAAUGGGUAUAAAUCAAUUAGAACAGUCAAGAAGAAGAAGAAGAAGAAGAACUCUGAUUGAGUUAUGACAAUCUAUGAAGGCGGCAUUGACUAGAAUUCUAAAUUUAUGUACAGAGUACGUAGGCUUACAUGCAAUGUAUUGGAGAUAAUGUAAUGUUUUUACAUUAAAAUCAAUAAAUUAAUAAAUAAGAUUCCUUGAAGAACACUGCUUUGAUUGUACAUAUAUUUGUGUGUCUGUGAAAGUAUUGAAAAAGAACAACAAUAAUAGGGAUCUGACAACAGGGCUAUUAUUGCAUUAUAGAGUGGAGACUGGUUGAAAUGAAUAUGUGCACACCAUUCAGCCUCUCCUUCAUCUAUUCUAUUCGGCAAACGGUGCCAAAUACGAGAACAAAGAUAAAGGCGAUUGGGGUGGGCCAAAUUCCGCACAGAACAGUCCUGCUCUGCUCCAGGCUUGGCUCAUAAUGGAAGCAUGGACCUCUAAAGAAGACCCAACAACAGAAGAAUAAUGUCCCCUUUUUCUUCCUUAAAAAACGAUCUCUUUUCCACUAUAAAAAAUAAAAUAUAAAACAGCAUUCGCAUACUCAAUAACCUGGUCACAAAAAGAAAAUCCUUCAAUCAGAAAAGCUGCCAUGGGAUCAAUGAGUCAAGCCUUUGACUGCCACAGAUCCAACGCCACUGUACAGUUUUCUCAUUCUAAAUAUUAUUAUUAGGGUUAGGGUUAAUACAUGGAAUUAUUGUAAGGUAUUUGUGAGUGAUUAACAAAAAUGGGUAUCCCAACUUGGUCAAACUUUUAGUUUGACUGAGCCAAACCCUAAUUUAUAAAACUGGGUCAUACUUUCUGCAGCUUUAUUGCGAACCCAUUUCUGUGAAGGAUUUAUUUAAUGGCACUAGUCUUCUUUCUUUCAAA
rnacentral:lncRNA from 1 species